AUUGAACGCUGGCGGCAGGCCUAACACAUGCAAGUCGAGCGGUAGAGAGAAGCUUGCUUCUCUUGAGAGCGGCGGACGGGUGAGUAAUGCCUAGGAAUCUGCCUGGUAGUGGGGGAUAACGCUCGGAAACGGACGCUAAUACCGCAUACGUCCUACGGGAGAAAGCAGGGGACCUUCGGGCCUUGCGCUAUCAAAUGAGCCUAGGUCGGAUUAGCUAGUUGGUGAGGUAAUGGCUCACCAAGGCGACGAUCCGUAACUGGUCUGAGAGGAUGAUCAGUCACACUGGAACUGAGACACGGUCCAAACUCCUACGGGAGGCAGCAGUGGGGAAUAUUGGACAAUGGGCGAAAGCCUGAUCCAGCCAUGCCGCGUGUGUGAAGAAGGUCUUCGGAUUGUAAAGCACUUUAAGUUGGGAGGAAGGGCAGUUACCUAAUACGUAUCUGUUUUGACGUUACCGACAGAAUAAGCACCGGCUAACUCUGUG
rnacentral:rRNA from 1 species